GUUUUUUUUAUUUUCACUUGGAUCCAAAUUUUUUUCAACUUUUAAUCCUCUUUUAUCUACUUUUAUUACUGCUGAUUUUUGAUGUUCUUCAGAAAUUUUACCAGUGGAGAAUAUUGGAAUUGUUCACAGUAAUAUAGUCAAAAAAGAGGGUUUUUCAGUUUUGAAGACAUCAAUAGUGCUGCAGAGGACAGAUUCGCUGAAUUGGAUAGAUUUUUUAAUGAGGGUUUGAAUUGUUUGAAAUCAUCAGAAUUCUUGGCUGGUUUCCCAAUUAUAAAAAAAAAUUUACUUACGUUAAAAUACAGAUCUACCUUCCAGUACAUUAGAUGAAAGACUAUU